rnacentral:rRNA from 1 species
CAAGUCGAGCGAACUUUUGGGAGCUUGCUCCCAAAAGUUAGCGGCGGACGGGUGAGUAACACGUGGGCAACCUGCCUAUAAGACUGGGAUAACUUCGGGAAACCGGAGCUAAUACCGGAUAAUUCUUUUCUACACAUGUAGAAAAGCUAAAAGACGGUUUACGCUGUCACUUAUAGAUGGGCCCGCGGCGCAUUAGCUAGUUGGUGAGGUAACGGCUCACCAAGGCCACGAUGCGUAGCCGACCUGAGAGGGUGAUCGGCCACACUGGGACUGAGACACGGCCCAGACUCCUACGGGAGGCAGCAGUAGGGAAUCUUCCGCAAUGGACGAAAGUCUGACGGAGCAACGCCGCGUGAGUGAUGAAGGUUUUCGGAUCGUAAAACUCUGUUGUUAGGGAAGAACAAGUACGAGAGUAACUGCUCGUACCUUGACGGUACCUAACCAGAAAGCCACGGCUAACUACGUGCCANCAGCCGCGGUAAUACNUAGGUGGCAAGCGUUGUCCGGAAUUAUUGGGCGUAAAGCGCGCGCAGGCGGUCCUUUAA